rnacentral:rRNA from 1 species
CCUACGGGAGGCAGCAGUGGGGAAUAUUGGGCAAUGGGCGCAAGCCUGACCCAGCAACGCCGCGUGAAGGAAGAAGGCUUUCUGGUUGUAAACUUCUUUUCUCGGGGACGAAGCACGUGACGGUACCUGAGUAAUAAGCCACGGCUAACUACGUGCCAGCAGCCGCGGUAAUACGUAGGUGGCAAGCGUUAUCCGGAUUUACUGGGUGUAAAGGGCGUGUAGGCGGGAAAGCAAGUCAGAUGUGAAAACCAUGGGCUCAACCUGUGGCCUGCAUUUGAAACUGUUGUUCUUGAGUACUGGAGAGGCAGACGGAAUUCCGAGUGUAGCGGUGAAAUGCGUAGAUAUUAGGAGGAACACCAGUGGCGAAGGCGGUCUGCUGGACAGCAACUGACGCUGAGGCGCGAAAGCGUGGGGAGCAAACAGGAUUAGAUACCCCGGUAGUC